AGAGUCAAUACUCUUCGAUUCCAACGGUUGAUGAAGAUUUUGAGGAAGCAGCAAGGGAGUUUUAUGAGCAAAACAGUGAAAAGAGUGAAGAGAAACAUGAUGAUGGGGAGCUUAUGGAGAGUCAGUACUCUCCCAUUCCGACAGUUGAUAAUGAGAGCAUUGAGUUUGACUUUGAUAGAUCAGAUUCCUUUGAUUCUAGAAGGGUGAAUCUUAAUUCUCUUCCUGGUUCCCCUUGGAAAAAGGAGAGAGAGGAAGAACACGAGGAA
rnacentral:misc_RNA from 1 species